GUGUUACUCUCUCCAAAGUAUUUGUCGGAGAAAUGGAUGUAUCUAGACGUAUUUAAGUUCAAGAUACAUCAAUUUUUAUCCAUUUCUUCGACAAGUAUUUUCGGAUGAAGGGAGUAUAUA
rnacentral:pre_miRNA from 1 species